AGCAGCAUGGACUUGCCAUGCCAUGCUGAUGCAGCAUGCAGGGUUGGACGAUGGCCUAAGGUGUCAAGCACUUCAGCGAGGAGGAAGGUAGUCGUUAAUAGCCAUGCAUGGACGUACUGCAGAAGAAGCACCGGCUAACUCGUGCAGCAGCCAGCGGUAUACGGAGGGGUGCAAGCGUCAUCGGAUAUUACUGGGCGUAAGCGGCACGCAGGCGGUUUGUUAAGUCAGAUGUGAAAUCCCCGCGCUUAACGUGGGAACUGCAUUUGAAACUGGCCAAGCUAGAGUCUCGUAGAGGGGGGGUAGAAUUGCCAGGUGUAGCGGUGAAAUGCGUAGAGAUCUGGAGGAAUACCGGUGGCGAAGGCGGCCCCCUGGACAAAGACUGACGCUCAGGUGCGAAAGCGUGGGGAGCAAACAGGAUUAGAUACCCUGGUAGUCCACGCUGUAAACGAUGUCGAUUUGGAGGUUGUGCCCUUGAGGCGUGGCUUCCGGAGCUAACGCGUUAAAUCGACCGCCUGGGGAGUACGGCCGCAAGGUUAAAACUCAAAUGAAUUGACGGGGGCCCGCACAAGCGGUGGAGCAUGUGGUUUAAUUCGAUGCAACGCGAAGAACCUUACCUACUCUUGACAUCCAGAGAAUUCGCUAGAGAUAGCUUAGUGCCUUCGGGAACUCUGAGACAGGUGCUGCAUGGCUGUCGUCAGCUCGUGUUGUGAAAUGUUGGGUUAAGUCCCGCAACGAGCGCAACCCUUAUCCUUUGUUGCCAGCGAUUCGGUCGGGAACUCAAAGGAGACUGCCGGUGAUAAACCGGAGGAAGGUGGGGAUGACGUCAAGUCAUCAUGGCCCUUACGAGUAGGGCUACACACGUGCUACAAUGGCGUAUACAAAGAGAAGCGAACUCGCGAGAGCAAGCGGACCUCAUAAAGUACGUCGUAGUCCGGAUUGGAGUCUGCAACUCGACUCCAUGAAGUCGGAAUCGCUAGUAAUCGUAGAUCAGAAUGCUACGGUGAAUACGUUCCCGGGCCUUGUACACACCGCCCGUCACACCAUGGGAGUGGGUUGCAAAAGAAGUAGGUAGCUUAACCUUCGGGAGGCGCUACCACUUUGAUCAUGUCCA
rnacentral:rRNA from 1 species